rnacentral:rRNA from 1 species
AACGAACGCUGGCGGCAGGCCUAACACAUGCAAGUCGAACGCCGUAGCAAUACGGAGUGGCAGACGGGUGAGUAACGCGUGGGAACCUACCUUACGGUCGGGAAUAGCUCAGGGAAACUUGGGGUAAUACCGGAUACGCCCUUACGGGGAAAGAUUUAUCGCCGUUAGAUGGGCCCGCGUAGGAUUAGCUAGUUGGUGAGGUAAUGGCUCACCAAGGCGACGAUCCUUAGCAGGUCUGAGAGGAUGAUCAGCCACACUGGGACUGAGACACGGCCCAGACUCCUACGGGAGGCAGCAGUGGGGAAUAUUGGACAAUGGGCGCAAGCCUGAUCCAGCCAUGCCGCGUGAGUGACGAAGGCCUUAGGGUUGUAAAGCUCUUUUGGCGGGGAAGAUAAUGACGGUACCCGCAGAAUAAGCUCCGGCUAACUCCGUGCCAGCAGCCGCCGUAA